rnacentral:rRNA from 1 species
CACGUAGGGCGCAAGCGUUGUCCGGAAUUAUUGGGCGUAAAGAGCUCGUAGGCGGACUGUUGCGUCCGCUGUGAAAAGCUGGGGCUUAACCCUGGCCUUGCAGUGGAUACGGGCAGACUAGAGGUAGGUAGGGGAGAAUGGAAUUCCUGGUUUAGCGGUGAAAUGCGCAGAUAUCAGGAAGAACACCCGUGGCGAAGGCGGCUCUCUGGGACGGUACUGACGCUGAGACGCGAAAGCGUGGGGAGCGAACAGG